UGACCCGUCUUGAAACACGGACCAAGGAGUUUAUCGUGUGCGCAAGUCAUUGGGUGUUGAAAACCCAGAGGCGCAAUGAAAGUGAAGGCAUCCCUUGCGGAGCCGACGUGCGAGUCCGGGCACCACGGUGCCAGGAUGCAGCAUGGCCCCAUCCUGACUGCUUGCAGUGGGGCGGAGGAAGAGCGUACGCGGUGAGACCCGAAAGAUGGUGAACUAUUCCUGAGCAGGAUGAAGCCGAGGAAACUCUGGUGGAAGUCCGAAGCGAUUCUGACGUGCAAAUCGAUCGUCUGACUUGGGUAUAGGGGCGAAAGACUAAUCGAACCAUCUAGUAGCUGGUUCCUUCC
rnacentral:rRNA from 1 species